CACUCUGUCACUCUCAGUCUACUUCUCCUCAGUUUCCUCCGUCCCUCAUUUGGGGGUCUCUCAAUUGAAGAAUUAAUCCUUAAUCCUUUACAUAUGUGAAGUAAAAUGGAGGCACCUAGAGGAACAGAAGCAGCUCCCAUUCCAUUUUCAGAUAAUGUUCCUCCUGCUUCUCCAAGGAUAUCACAGGCUGAUUUUCAUAAAAAGGAAGCCUCGAAUAUGGUUUCCGGUUUGGGCCCAAGCAUGAAAAAAGCAGAUCUUUCCCUUCAAAUACCUCCAAGACAUGCAGGCAUUGGAACUGGCAGAAAGUAUUCACCCCGUUCACCAGGUCCAACAGGAGGUUUUCUUCGGGCUUUAAGCUUUAAGAAGAAAUCUGCUUCAUCUGAUGGUGAGAGAAGUUCUCUCCUUAGUUCAGAUCAUAAGGUAGUUCCAGGAAGCCCUCUGGCAGCAAACUUCUUCUCCUCCAAUUGGCAAAAAUGUGCCUCUCUACCUGUGACCCCUGCUUCAGAUUCAUCUCCCUCAGUUUCUACGCCUAUAUCUUCCAGGACACAUGGUGAACAACAAAGGUCAAAUUCAUCGCGGACUGGGGCAUCUAAAGCUAGUAUGUCAAGGUCCCUUUCUGUGCCUGGGAGAAAUUUUAUCAUUGUUAGAUCAAUGUCCUUUGCUACCCAUGAAGAGCAUGUUCCAGAUACUGGAGAUGAAAUUACUCCUGCUCCUGAGAAUGAGGAUCGGGAAAUCCCUGAAGAGGAAGCAGUUUGUAGGAUCUGUCUGGCGGCAUGUGAUGAAGGCAAUACUUUUCAGAUGGAGUGCAGCUGCAAAGGUGACCUAAGACUUGUUCACGAGGAAUGUGCAAUCAAGUGGUUUAGCGUAAAAGGGAACAAAAUUUGUGAGGUUUGUAGACAGGACGUUUCUAAUUUACCUGUGACAUUGCUGCGGAUUCCCAGUACUAGUCAACAUGAUAACAGAGCGGAGCACAACAAUUCUGGAAGAAUAAGUGCUUGGCAGGACUUUGUGGUGCUUGUUUUGAUCAGCACAAUAAGCUACUUCUUCUUCCUUGAGCAGUUAUUUGUUCAUGACAUGAAAACUCAGGCGCUUGUGAUUGCUGCACCAUUUGCAUUUACACUCGGUAUUUUGUCAUCCAUUUUUGCCAUCAUCCUAGCUAUUAAAGAGUACAUAUGGUCGUAUGCCGCUUUAGAGUUUGCUUUUUUUGCUGUUCCGCUAUAUGUUUUGUACUCUAUGCUUCAAUUGCAGGCAGUCUAUUCUAUAAUGAUAGCAUCAGUUUUGGGCUUUGGUGCUACUAUGAGUAUCAACGCAAUGUACAUCCAGUACUAUUCUUGGCAAUUCCAAAUUGCAGAAAGUUCUAGCCCUGUAUGACAUGAGUAAUAACAGAGAGAUGAUCAAGUUAUAUAGGAGAUAUUGAAUAUGCUUUUCUUUGUAUUAUUCUAUCUUCUUUUCUGCAACGAUCUUAUGUGAUGACGCGGUUGAUACCUCAAGAAAUCUGGGCUCUGGCAGAUAAAUGUGUAUACUGACAUAGUUACUGUAGCUAUAGGUAGCCUUCAAAUUAUGUCUGCUGCUGGAGAAUAUAGUUAGCUCAAUGAGGCUGGGACAUGGCCAUUACCAACAUCUGAUGCAACUGGUUUUGUGCCCUUGUUAAUCUGAUAAGGUGUUGUAUUCUCUUUGUUUUAUAACAUUUUAGAUCUCUCUUAUGUUUACCAGUUACUGUAAGCUAUAUAGUUUUCUGCUUUCGAAAAG
rnacentral:misc_RNA from 1 species